AGCGGCUGAGGCCAGUGUGACGUUUCAGCAGCCUGCGUUGCACCGUGCGUUCUCCCAGGGAAGUUGUCCCUGGAUCCCGGGACCCUGGCAGUUGUGGGCUCCACAGGCUCCUGGGAGGGGAGGGUGGGCUGCAGUUUCCUCCUGCUUCUCCAGAAGACUCUCCAGAUCAGCAGAUAUAACCUUGAUACGCCUGGCCUCAUUUCUGUCACCUGAUGACUGGAUACCUUUAUGUACACACCUCAGAGAAGUCUUCAACUUGACUCUUCUUGGUCUCUGGGAUCUCCAGCCCCUUGUUCUAUGAGCUGCUUCUGAGGAUAGCCUUCUAUCCUUUCUGAAAUACAUACACAGACAGGAUUUGACAUGCAAUAGACAAUACUUGACCUCUCUGACAGGAAUCAAUUCAGAAGACUUUGGAGAAAUCAAAAAUAAUUUCUCUUUAAGAAGAAAAACUUAACUUAUCCAACUGUUCAAGAAAUGACAUUAAGUUUUACCACCU